GAUCCUGAUUUCGUAUCCAUUCUCUUAGCCUGCGUCUUUUUAAAGCCUGUAUUUCAGAGCUUCUCUGAGGUUGCAAGAUGAGGAUGGCUUGGGACAGAGUGGACAACACUGUCUUUUUACCCAUCUCCAUCACCAUGUACUUGGAGUAUUUAACACGUCUCAGAAGUGGGUGUACUUUCUGAAAAGAAGAACAUGAUGCAAUUGUUUUUAUAAACAGUAUCUUGUUUCAAAGAGCUUACAUUUAUAAUCUUCUAAGAAUGGUUUGUUCUGAUGCAUUUUUAUUGUUAUGCCUUCCAUAUGUUAACAACCUGAAAAUUGUUCCAAUACAGCUGUUUGUUUUAUAUCCCAAAACACAAACAUACCAUACUUAACAAGAGACUUUUCAACACUUGGAUUCAGGGAUUUCUGGGUUAGGUUCUAUUUAAGAAUUUCCAAGUAACAAAUCCACUGACUCCUAUAGCAAAUACAGAAUAUAAAUGUGAGAAAGUUAUUCUCUUGGAUCUUGUGUUUCUGCCAUGUAUUCUGAAAAAAGGAAUCAUUUACAAUGCAUUUAUCUUUCAACAGCUAACAGCAUUGAAAAGUUGUGGACAUAAUUCUCUUCAAAGCAAAGGUCUAUCAUUUUCACUAUCAAUUAGCAAAAACUCAGCCUUUCUAGGAACAAUGCCUUACCACAAUAACUCUACCAAUUAUCUGGGGAGUUAUCAACUUCGGUAAAGCUUUCCUGUCAAAUCAUGACUGUACCAACAUUGUCCUAUCUCCUACCAACAUGCCUGAGAACGUUAUUAAGAUAUGUUGUCUUGCUUGACAACAUGUAAAACCAAAUUCAACACGUAAGGAAUGCUUUCAAUAUACCUUGAAAUUACUUUGUAAAUUUUACCUAAUGUAAUGUGAUUAAUAUUGAAUAUAAUGAUUAGUAGAUAAGCCUGUUUACGGAUAUUGUAAGAGCUUAAAAGGUAUGAGCUUUGUGAUUUUACAAUUUUAAGAGCUUUGGUUGUUCCAUAUCAGAUUAUGACAUUUGCUGAGCAAGCUCUACUAUUGAAGAACUCAAAAAAUCUCAAUAACUGGAACAUUACAAUGGAAAACUCUCAUUCUACUCACUGAAAAGUACAGAAAAGGAAAACAUUGCCAUUUUCCUCUUACAAUCUUACAUAUCUUCUGUGUAAUCAUAGAAAUAAUAGUCACCUCUAAUGUCUUAUUACUGCCUUGAUGCUGGUACAAACUCAAGAGAAAAAAACACAGCAUGAAUACAUUUUCAUAUAAUUUUACAAA